rnacentral:rRNA from 1 species
GACGAACGCUGGCGGCGUGCCUAAUACAUGCAAGUCGAGCGAACGGACGAGAAGCUUGCUUCUCUGAUGUUAGCGGCGGACGGGUGAGUAACACGUGGAUAACCUACCUAUAAGACUGGGAUAGCUUCGGGAAACCGGAGCUAAUACCGGAUAAUAUUUUGAACCGCAUGGUUCAAAAGUGAAAGACGGUCUUGCUGUCACUUAUAGAUGGAUCCGCGCUGCAUUAGCUAGUUGGUAAGGUAACGGCUUACCAAGGCAACGAUGCAUAGCCGACCUGAGAGGGUGAUCGGCCACACUGGAACUGAGACACGGUCCAGACUCCUACGGGAGGCAGCAGUAGGGAAUCUUCCGCAAUGGGCGAAAGCCUGACGGAGCAACGCCGCGUGAGUGAUGAAGGUCUUCGGAUCGUAAAACUCUGUUAUUAGGGAAGAACAUAUGUGUAAGUAACUGUGCACAUCUUGACGGUACCUAAUCAGAAAGCCUCGGCUAACUACGUG